UGACGAUGAUGAAUUUGUUCCAACUUCAUUCGCGGUUUCCACCAGAGAAACUCUAGUUUCAAAGAUGGUUCAUUGUCCUUCCUUGGAUGUCUGAGUCA